UGGCGAACGGGUGAGUAACACGUAGGUGAUCUGCCUUGCACUCUGGGAUAAGCUUGGGAAACUGGGUCUAAUACCGGAUAGGAACCGUCUUUAGUGUGGUGGUUGGAAAGUUUUUUCGGUGUAGGAUGAGCUCGCGGCCUAUCAGCUUGUUGGUGGGGUAAUGGCCUACCAAGGCGGCGACGUGUAGCCGGCCUGAGAGGGUGGACGGCCACAUUGGGACUGAGAUACUGCCCAG
rnacentral:rRNA from 1 species